rnacentral:lncRNA from 1 species
CUGCAUUGCGUUCUUAAAGGCCAUGGCAUUCUCUAACUAAUCUCUCUGCUCCCUUUCACCUUUGUCCAGUGUGUCCUCUGAAGCUGGUAACCUGGCAGUAUUCAAAACUGCCGGAGAGAGUUCUGAAAUGAACAUCUGAUCAUGUCUGUUCCUUGCUUUAAAAUCAUUCAACUCAAGUCAACUGACUUUUAUGUACUGGAUGAAGCAGGUGCCUUGGCCAUCAGCUUCCCAUUGGAUGUGGCCAAUGGGAAACACCUCACGAGAUGGAGACUGAAACUCUGUGGAGUUAUCAUCAGGCAGACUUCUGGUUGGGUUCAACAACGGUAGGCACUAGCCGGAAGUUGGAGGAAAGGAGGAAUAAGAAGUCAGGUAUUUCCAUGGCCACAGUCCUCCCUGAGUUAUGGCAACAGUGCUCCCUGUCUUGUCUCUUCAGGCCCAUGGCUCCUAGAAUAGUACCUGCCACAUAACAGGCAUUCGAUAGACCUUUACUAGAUCAACGAAUGAGAAAAUGGCUUAAUACGUCACAUGGCUCAAUGAAGAGGUAAAAUUGUUUUUAAAACUUCUGAAAAAGAACAAAAUGACUUCAAUCUUCCUAAUAUUCUGGAAUCAUACCUAUCAAAGCAAUGGGAAAUUAGGGAAUUUUAUGCAGAUUUCCUACAAGAACAAAGAAAGUGUUGAUGAUGUUCAACUGUAUAAAUAUUAAGAGACAGUCUACAUCAUGCCUUCAGGAUAUAGAAUUUUAUUAGAUAAAGAUUCAUCAGCUAUGCCAUGCUUUUGUAUUGAUUCCAAAGUGCUUUUUGGAUGAACUUUGAAAGCCAUUUGCUGAGUGUGGGAUUUUGUAGGCUUGGGGUUGUCAAUAAAUGUGUUUUGCUGUAAUUAAUAA